rnacentral:lncRNA from 1 species
GCCGCGGGCGGCGGGUGAGGGGGGACGGCGGCCAUCGGCCCCCCCACCGCACCGGCGGCGCGUCCGUUCCUUCUCGCCGGCUGCAGCCCGGUCACCGGCACGACCGGCCCCCGGCGAGCUAGUUACCCUUCCUUCUGACUUAGGGUGACUUGCUGCCGCCCUCACCUCAGCCACCGCGUCUGGCAUCAGCAACCUCCGAGGCCUGCGGCCGGCUGCCCCUGCCCUCCCUCCUCUGCCCGCAUCGACCCCAGGAGCCUAAAUCUGGUGGUGUAAACAUGACAAGGAAAGCUGAUUUCAAGCAGAGACUGAGCACCAUUUGUAACCAUAGCUGUUAUUACAAAUGAGGUCAUCCAUAUUAGAAUGAAGAUCUGCAGCCAAUAAAAAAUGUGUGGGUUGAAAACAUCCACAACAUCACCAAGAGCCGCCUUCUUUCAAUCUGCUGAAAAUGCCAGUGAGCCACCUCCCUUGGUCUUCCAUCUUCGGGAUAUUAUGUGCUCCCAGUCCUGGGGAGGGUCUCAGGGAAAAGGCUAGAUCAACUGAUGAGAAGUGCCAGAAAAGCUGUCAUCAAUGAAUACCUGCAUUUGUGAAUAAUUUCCAUGUAGCCUUUCAGAUGUGGGAACCUUGGCACCCAUGUAGAAAAAUAUUACUACAUUGAAUCCACUGAUGUUUCCUUACCGUGAACAAUUCAAAUAUGACGUAUAAACUGCCAGCACAGUCCUUGAUAAAACAAAAUUGAUACUCUGCAAAAGCUGUUUUUACACUCUUCCCCAUAUGGUCUAACUGCACGCCAAAUAAAAUCAUCGAGAAUAUAGGGUUAUAACAACAUUUGUUUGUUGUGCUUGAAAAUUGAUGUCAACGUCCUAUACACGUCCUCUAACUAUAGCAAAACAGUAAAAAAGUCACACCACAGCAUGCAUG